rnacentral:tRNA from 1 species
CAGAAAGUAGUUUAAUAGAGAAUCCUAGCUUUGGGCGUUAGGGGUAAGAGUUUAAGUCUUUUUUUUCUGA